GACAGCAGCCGCCGCGGGAAUACGAAGGGGGGCUAGCGUUGCUCGGAAUCACUGGGCGUAAAGGGUGCGUAGGCGGGUCUUUAAGUCAGGGGUGAAAUCCUGGAGCUCAACUCCAGAACUGCCUUUGAUACUGAAGAUCUUGAGUUCGGGAGAGGUGAGUGGAACUGCGAGUGUAGAGGUGAAAUUCGUAGAUAUUCGCAAGAACACCAGUGGCGAAGGCGGCUCACUGGCCCGAUACUGACGCUGAGGCACGAAAGCGUGGGGAGCAAACAGGAUUAGAUACCCCUGUAGUCCCUGUCUCUUAUA
rnacentral:rRNA from 1 species